AUUGAACGCUGGCGGCAUGCUUUACACAUGCAAGUCGAACGGUAACAGGCCUUCGGGUGCUGACGAGUGGCGAACGGGUGAGUAAUGCAUCGGAACGUACCCAGAGGUGGGGGAUAACGCAGCGAAAGCUGUGCUAAUACCGCAUGUGAUCUGAGGAUGAAAGCGGGGGACCGAGCAGCAAUGUUUGGCCUCGCGCCUUUGGAGCGGCCGAUGUCGGAUUAGCUAGUUGGUGGGGUAAAGGCCUACCAAGGCGACGAUCCGUAGCUGGUCUGAGUGGACGACCAGCCACACUGGGAGUGAGACACGGCCCAGACUCCUACGGGAGGGAGCAGUGGGGAAUUUUGGACAAUGGGCGCAAGCCUGAUCCAGCAAUGCCGCGUGCGGGAAGAAGGCCUUCGGGUUGUAAACCGCUUUUGGCAGGAACGAAACGGUGUCCGCUAAUACCGGGCGCUAAUGACGGUACCUGCAGAAUAAGCACCGGCUAACUACGUG
rnacentral:rRNA from 1 species